rnacentral:rRNA from 1 species
GAUGAACGCUGGCGGCGUGCCUAAUACAUGCAAGUCGAGCGAACGGACGAGAAGCUUGCUUCUCUGAUGUUAGCGGCGGACGGGUGAGUAACACGUGGAUAACCUACCUAUAAGACUGGGAUAACUUCGGGAAACCGUAGCUAAUACCGGAUAAUAUUUUGAACCGCAUGGUUCAAAAGUGAAAGACGGUCUUGCUGUCACUUAUAGAUGGAUCCGCGCUGCAUUAGCUAAUUGGUAAGGUAACGGCUUACCAAGGCAACGAUGCAUAGCCGACCUGAGAAGGUGAUCGGCCACACUGGAACUGAGACACGGUCCAGACUCCUACGGGAGGCAGCAGUAGGGAAUCUUCCGCAAUGGGCGAAAGCCUGACGGAGCAACGCCGCGUGAGUGAUGAAGGUCUUCGGAUCGUAAAACUCUGUUAUUAGGGAAGAACAUAUGUGUAAGUAACUGUGCACAUCUUGACGGUACCUAAUCAGAAAGCCACGGCUAACUACGUG